CCCUUAGAUGUUCUGGGCUGCACGCGCGCUACACUGAUGCAUGCAACGAGUUUUCGACCUUGCCUGAAAAGGUUGGGUAAUCUGUUUAACAUGUGUCGUGAUGGGGAUAGACCAUUGCAAUUAUUGAUCUUCAACGAGGAAUUCCUAGUAAGCGCGAGUCAUCAGCUCGUGCUGAUUAUGUCCCUGCCCUUUGUACACACCGCCCGUCGCACCUACCGAUUGAAUGGUCCGGUGAAAUCUCGGGACGGCGGCUUGGUCGCUUGCGUCCGACUGCUGAAACUUGAUUAAACCAUAUCAUUUAGAGGAAGGUGAAGUCGUAACA
rnacentral:rRNA from 1 species